UAAUAUUUGAUUCUAGUUUUAAGUCUUUGUUAUAUUAUUAAUCUAUUGCAUGAAAAUUAUUUAAAGUGAGAAAAUAAACUAAUUUUAUAUUGGUAUUAUUGGUGAAUAUAAUUAAAAUGAUAAUUAUUUAUACUCUCAGCGUAAAAAUUUGGUAAAUAUACGGCAGUAUGAACUAGUGAAUAAUAAGUGUUAAAUCUGAUAAAAAAUUGUGCCAGCAUUCGCGGUUAAACUUUAAGGUUGAAUAAAGAAAUUUAUAUAAGAGUUACUUGUGUUAAGUAUAAAUAUUAUUUUAUAAGUAGUUAAUAGGUGAAAUUAUUAUUAUUUUAUAGAAUUUUAAGUAUUUUAAGGAAGCUAAUAAGCUUUAAAAAUAAACUAGGAUUAGAUACCCUAUUAUAUUAAAGUUUAAUAAAAUAAAUAUUAAAUUAUUAGUAGAUAUUACUUAAAAGUUAAAGAAUUUGGCGGUAAUUUAAUCUUGUCAGAGGAACCUGUUUAAAUAGAUCGAUAUACCUCGUAAUAUCUUACUUAUUUUUAGUUUGUAUACCAUCAUUAUUAGAUGAUUUUUGAAGGAUAAAUUAUUAAAAUUAAGUUGUUAAGUAAAUUAGAUCAAGGUGCAGCUUAUAAAUAAGUUUAAAUGGGUUACAAUAAAUUUUAUUUAAAUGGAAAAGACUAGAAAGAUGAGUCUAGGAAAGAGGAUUUGAUAGUAAUAUAAGUUAAUAAGCUUGUAAGAUAGGAGCUCUAAAUUAUGUACAUAUCGCCCGUCGCUUUCAUUAAUUAAUGAGAUAAGUCGUAACAUAGUAGAUGUACUGGAAAGUGUAUCUAGAAUUA
rnacentral:ncRNA from 1 species